rnacentral:rRNA from 1 species
CGAAAAAAAGCGGAAUACAUCGUAAUCUACUUUUUCGUGGGGGAUAACGUAGGGAAACUUACGCUAAUACCGCAUACGACCUACGGGUGAAAGCAGGGGAUCUUCGGACCUUGCGCGAUUGAAUGAGCCGAUUUCGGAUUAGCUAGUUGGCGGGGUAAAGGCCCACCAAGGCGACGAUCCGUAGCUGGUCUGAGAGGAUGAUAAGCCACACUGGAACUGAGAAACGGUCCAGACUCCUACGGGAGGCAGAAGUGGGGAAUAUUGGACAAUGGGCGCAAGCCUGAUCCAGCCACACCGCGUGGGUGAAGAAGGCCUUUGGUUUUUAAAGCGCUUUGGCGGCGACCGAAAUGUAGACUCGUU